AUUGAACGCUGGCGGCAUGCCUUACACAUGCAAGUCGAACGGCAGCACGGGAGCAAUCCUGGUGGCGAGUGGCGAACGGGUGAGUAAUAUAUCGGAACGUGCCCAGUCGUGGGGAUAACGUAGCGAAAGCUACGCUAAUACCGCAUACGAUCUAUGGAUGAAAGCGGGGGAUCGCAAGACCUCGCGCGAUUGGAGCGGCCGAUAUCAGAUUAGGUAGUUGGUGAGGUAAAGGCUCGCCAAGCCGACGAUCUGUAGCUGGUCUGAGAGGACGACCAGCCACACUGGGACUGAGACACGGCCCAGACUCCUACGGGAGGCAGCAGUGGGGAAUUUUGGACAAUGGGCGCAAGCCUGAUCCAGCAAUGCCGCGUGCAGGAUGAAGGCCUUCGGUUGUAAAC
rnacentral:rRNA from 1 species